GGUAGGUGGCUCUGCCCCGCCCCUCGGUUGGAGGCCCUUUCGGGUGCUUCUGCAGCGCUGCUGCUCCAAGGAUGGCUGCUCUGGUUGUAAACAAGGCUGGAUCGGGACUAGACAGUGGCCGUCAGGGCAGCUGGGGCACGGCCGUGGUGAAGGUGCUGGAGUGUGGAGUUUGUGAAGAUGUCUUUUCUUUGCAAGGAGACAAAGUUCCUCGCCUGCUGCUUUGUGGCCACACCGUCUGCCAUGACUGUCUCACCCGCCUGCCUCUUCAUGGAAGAGCAAUCCGUUGCCCUUUUGAUCGACAAGUAACAGACCUAGGAGAUUCAGGUGUUUGGGGAUUGAAAAAAAAUUUUGCUUUAUUGGAACUUUUGGAACGACUACAGAAUGGACAUAUUGGUCAGUAUGGUGCUGCAGAAGAAGCCAUUGGGAUAUCUGGAGAGAGCAUCAUUCGUUGCGAUGAAGAUGAAGCUCACGUUGCAUCUGUAUAUUGCACUGUAUGUGCAACUCACUUGUGCUCAGAGUGUUCCCAAGUUACUCAUUCUACGAAGACAUUAGCAAAGCACAGGCGAGUGCCUCUCGCUGAUAAACCUCAUGAGAAAACCAUGUGUUCUCAGCAUCAGGUGCAUGCCAUUGAGUUUGUUUGCUUGGAAGAAGGCUGUCAAACUAGCCCACUCAUGUGCUGUGUCUGCAAAGAAUAUGGAAAACACCAAGGUCACAAGCAUUCAGUAUUGGAACCAGAAGCUAACCAGAUCCGAGCCUCAAUUUUAGAUAUGGCUCACUGUAUACGGACCUUCACUGAGGAAAUCUCAGAUUAUUCCAGAAAAUUAGUUGGAAUCGUUCAGCACAUUGAAGGAGGAGAACAAAUAGUGGAAGAUGGAAUUGGAAUGGCCCACACAGAACAUGUACCGGGUACUGCGGAGAAUGCCCGGUCAUGUGUUCGAGCUUAUUUUUCUGAUCUACAUGAAACUCUGUGUCGUCAAGAAGAAAUGGCUUUAAGUGUUGUCGAUGCUCAUGUUCGAGAAAAAUUAAUUUGGCUCAGGCAACAACAAGAAGAUAUGACUAUUUUGCUGUCCCAGGUUUCAACAGCCUGUCUCCAUUGUGAAAAGACUUUGCAACAGGAUGAUUGUAGAGUUGUCUUGGCAAAACAAGAAAUUACAAGGUUACUGGAAACAUUGCAGAAGCAGCAGCAGCAGUUUACAGAGGUUGCAGAUCACAUUCAGUUGGAUGCCAGCAUCCCUGUCACUUUUACGAAGGACAACAGAGUUCACAUUGGACCAAAAAUGGAAAUUCGAGUUGUUACAUUAGGAUUAGAUGGUGCUGGAAAAACUACUAUUUUGUUUAAGUUAAAACAGGAUGAGUUUAUGCAACCUAUUCCAACAAUUGGUUUUAAUGUGGAAACUGUAGAAUAUAAAAAUCUAAAGUUCACUAUUUGGGAUGUAGGUGGAAAACACAAAUUAAGACCAUUGUGGAAACAUUAUUACCUGAAUACCCAAGCUGUUGUAUUCGUUGUUGAUAGCAGUCAUAGAGACAGAGUUAAUGAAGCACACAGUGAGCUUGCUAAGUUGUUAACAGAAAAAGAACUCCGAGAUGCUUUGCUUCUGAUUUUUGCUAACAAACAGGAUGUUGCUGGAGCCCUUUCAGUAGAAGAAAUCACUGAACUUCUCAGUCUUCAUAAACUGUGCUGUGGCCGUAGCUGGUAUAUCCAGGGCUGUGAUGCUCGAAGUGGGAUGGGACUAUACGAAGGGUUGGACUGGCUCUCACGGCAGCUUGUGGCUGCUGGAGUAUUGGAUGUUGCUUGAUUUUAAAUGCAGCAGUUGUUUCACGUUUUGUGGUUAAGAGUUAUUUUGCACAUAAUAUGUUGUAAGAAAUUCUACAUCUCAAAGAUAGUUAAUUUAGGAUAUGUAGAUGAAAGGAAUUUUGGAUUGGGAAUUCAGUACAAUAUUGCUUUACCAAAAUUAUUCUAUAGCAAAAUUUAAAUAUCUGAUUGAGAUUAAAUUGGAUUAAAUAGGGAUUUCUUGAUUUUACAUUUUUUAAAAUGUACAUUUGUUAUUUGAGUUUUUCAGAUUAUAUGUGACCCAUAUAUUGAGAAAUAGUUACAGAGAAAGGGUAAGUGAAGAUGUAUUCUUAUAGCCAACCGAGUGCCUAAAGACCUCUGCAGCAAGUGAGGCAUGGCUUCUUUACUUGUCUUUCCUGAAUUCUGGCAGUAUUUAACAGUAAGAAUGACAAUGACUUAAUGAAAUAGGGUUCACAAAUUGCAUCUUUGGGUUAUAGAAUUACUUUUACCUUUAGUAAUAGAAAACCUUUAAAGCUAAGACUAUAAGCUAUAGAAAAUUAAUAUUUUAUACAGUGUUUUAUUAAAACUUUCUCCUAAAGCAUUUUGUAUAAAACCCAGUGAGUCAAAAUGAAAUGUUGCCUAACUAGGCCUGAUUUGUAACAUUAGUACUAACCUGAAGAAUAAUUAAUAAUAAUAAAACUGUGAAAGUCAGUUAUGUUCUAGUUGACCUUCACUUAUGAAAGACCAGUUUUCAGGGCUGAACCUGGAUGUAUUAUUUCCUAGAUUAUAGUUCUAAACUGGCCCUUCUACUUUUUCAGCAUAUUUAAAGUACUUAGUAUUUCUUUUAAAAAAUAUAUUGCAUCUUUAGUGAGAAUGACUAUACAUAAAAGGUAGUAAAUUACACAAAGAACCAGGGUUGCCUUUACAUAAAAGAGAGACAUCUAAGUAGAAAAUUACCUUUACCUUAUGAGAAGUCAUUUAAACAGUGGGGAAUGCUUAGCAUUUACGUCAUUUGAAAUGUUUUACCAAAAUAAGUGCAUUUACCUUGACAAAAAAAUGUGAUUAAGGCUCUUUGUGACAAGACCUUGAAAAGCUAAGAGAAAAAGCACAUCUAAGAAAAGAACAGAAGAAACAUUGAAAAAGUCAUUAUCACAUUUAUUAUGCAGUAUUAAACCCUGGGUUUGAAUUCCAGCUCUGUCAUUUACGAGUUAUGUGACUUUGGGUAAGUAAAUUCACUUCUUACAUUUCCUCAUUCAUAAAUGGGAAUAAUAAGAACUACCCCAAAUGGUACCUGUUACGAGAUUAAAUGAAGGGGGAUGCAAACUGCUUAGAGAAUAGUGCUUACCGUACAGAGAGAACUGUGUAUAUAUUAACACUUGUUAUUACUAUGAACAAGACUUGGGCAAGGUAGGAUGAGGAUUCACAGACAAAUCAGUAGUGAAUCUUGACUUCUUUUUUUUGCAGAGCCCCAUCUGAUAUACCUAAACCCUGAAGCCUGGGAGAAAGAAUGUAAAUUUUGAGUGAAGUUGCAGAAAUCUCAGGAUUCUCAGGGUAUAAAGAGAAUUGAGAAAAACCUUUCAGUUGUUAAAACUCUGGAUUUCUCAAGGCCUGUUUCUUUUGACUCUCAGGAAGAAGAAAGUGCUACCUAAUGCCAACUGAGUUGCAGGAAGGUAAAGCUUGUGCCCAGGCCCUGUCUUGCCUAAUAGCAUUCCUUGGUCCACUUGGAUAGAUUCCAAAUAAACAACCAAGUUACGAUGCGAUUGCCUUCACAUAUUAUUCUCCAGUUUUCAAAGGAGAAUGGCAAGUCUGUUGUACUAUUUAUAUGAAUCUUUAAAGUUAUCUUGACUUAGCUCACAUAUGAAACUACUAAAGUUCAAAUUUUAUAAAAUUUUACUUUUAUUUCAUGAUAUUGGAUUUAAAAGGUAAUAGAAAUGUACACAGACCAUUUUAAUUUUGCUUAAGAAUAUGUACAUCUAAUAAACCUCAAAGAUAAUUCAUGAAAUGUUACCUGUAUAAAGACACACUGUGAGGGACUUAUUUUGUUUUUCUAUUCCAAGUUUAUGAGAAAAUCUGUGGUUUAAUCAACAUAAAAGUAAAUUUUUGGGAAAGAAAAAGAAAACUUAUUACUUAGUUUUUAAAUAAAGUGGUUGGAAAAUUAUGUUUUUAGUGCAUAUCAAGAACUAUAUUUUGUGAUUAAUUUGUACCUUCAAAAAGUUAAAUUACAGGUAAAAACAAGAAAAAUUAUUUUCCUUUAACAUAUAUUGAUAAAAUUUUAGCAAUGACUUUGGAAGUUAUAAGAAAAUUCUCACCUUAAAAGAAUGUACCCAUUCUAGGUUAAAAGCUUGGUCAGGGUAGGGAAAUGCUAUUUCUUACAUGUACCAAAUGCUGGUAACCUUAAUAGCAUCACAGAUGCUUAUAAUAUGUCAGAUGAAUAAAUGAAUAUACUAUAAUGGGCCAAACACUUUACCAAACUUUGUGGAUUUAAUAGUGAAAAAAAAAAAGUAGUGCCUAUGUUUACAGAUUUUAUAUUAUCAUGAAGAGGAGAUGACAGUAUCAGAAACCAAAAACAAAAA